UAGCAACAACGUACUUCCUGAUACUUAGUAAAGCCUUCUCAUAUUCUUAUGGAAUGAAUGAAUGAGGAAACAAAGGAGGGAGAUGGAUCGGUGGGAAUAAGCAUCAGUUCCCUACAGAUGUUUGAUGAUUUUGCUCACCUGUAAGAACAGGCCUGAGCUUCUGUAUAUGAAACAAGUUCCCUCCUGCCAUGGGGUAGUCCAAAGGUCACGGAAACCACAACCCAUAUGACAUAAGACAUCCAUCUUCUAUUCGUUGGUAAGUAAAAAUGCAUAAACAAGACUUCCUCUUCCCUCACCUGCCACCAAAGGUUA
rnacentral:lncRNA from 1 species